GACGAACGCUGGCGGCGUGCUUAACACAUGCAAGUCGAACGGAAAGGCCCUGCUUUUGUGGGGUGCUCGAGUGGCGAACGGGUGAGUAACACGUGAGUAACCUGCCCUUGACUUUGGGAUAACUUCAGGAAACUGGGGCUAAUACCGGAUAGGAGCUCCUGCUGCAUGGUGGGGGUUGGAAAGUUUCGGCGGUUGGGGAUGGACUCGCGGGUUAUCAGCUUGUUGGUGGGGUAGUGGCUUACCAAGGCUGUGACGGGUAGCCGGCCUGGGAGGGUGAACGGGCACCAGGGUCCUGAGAGAGGGACCAGACGCGUAUGGGAGGCAGUAGGCGGGAACAUUGCAGAAUGGGGGGAAGCCAGAUGUAGCAACGCUGGGUGCGGGAUGCCGUGUUUCGGGGUGUAAACCGAUGUGGCCGGUGACGAAGCGGUAGUGACGGUAAUGGGUAAAGAAGCACCGGCUAACUACGUG
rnacentral:rRNA from 1 species